rnacentral:rRNA from 1 species
CCUACGGGAGGCAGCAGUGGGGAAUCUUAGACAAUGGGCGCAAGCCUGAUCUAGCCAUGCCGCGUGAGUGACGAAGGUCUUAGGAUCGUAAAGCUCUUUCGCUGGGGAAGAUAAUGACUGUACCCAGUAAAGAAGUCCCGGCUAACUCCGUGCCAGCAGCCGCGGUAAU